UGUUCUGUUGUGUGUGGGCUGUGUAAAUAUGUUCUGUUGUGUGGGGACACAACAGAACAUAUUUACACAGCCCCACACAACAGAACA
rnacentral:pre_miRNA from 1 species